rnacentral:lncRNA from 1 species
CGUCAGUUAUCUGACCCAAACACCUCGAGAGCCAACACGAAGGUCCUGGCCCAUUCCUUUAUCAUCGUUCUGGUCACUGGGAUCAUUUGCAUUAUAGCUGCUCAGGACGGUGAAAGUGAAAGAGGCAUGGCGCACGUGAGAGUUCGCUAGGGAUUUAACUGCCCAUUCAACCAGGGUGCCUGCCACCGUCACUGCCGCAGCAUUGGGCGCCGCAGAGGCUACUGUGCCGGCAUCAUCAAGCAGACUUGCACCUUUUACCGCAAUUAGUCUAUGAGCCGCUGUUCUUCAGCCCGCCAUAACCGCGUCACUUCUCUCAUAAGAAGAACCGAAUGUUGCUAUGCACGCAGUCUUUCGAAGUAUUACUGUUAAACUACCCUUGACAAAAUGGCAUCUCUAACCUUUUUGUUGCAUAACCGUGAAAUUUCCAUCGUAGCAUCUGUGAAUCAGCGGCAUAAAACCUUGUUCAUAUUGCUUCAAUAAAAAAUCGUAUACGAGUA